GGAUUGGAAAUGGGCGAAAGCCUGAUCCAGCAAUGCCGCGUGAGUGAGGAAGGUCUUCGGAUUGUAAAGCUCUUUCGGCGGGGACGAUGAUGACGGUACCCGCAGAAGAAGCCCCGGCUAACUUCGUGCCAGCAGCCGCGGUAAUACGAAGGGGGCUAGCGUUGCUCGGAAUGACUGGGCGUAAAGGGCGCGUAGGCGGUGAGUACAGUCAGACGUGAAAUUCCCGGGCUCAACCUGGGGGCUGCGUUUGAUACGUGCUUGCUUGAGUUCGGAAGAGGGUCGUGGAAUUCCCAGUGUAGAGGUGAAAUUCGUAGAUAUUGGGAAGAACACCGGUGGCGAAGGCGGCGACCUGGUCCGAUACUGACGCUGAGGCGCGAAAGCGUGGGGAGCAAACAGGAUUAGAUACCCUGGUAGUCCACGCCGUAAACGAUGUGUGCUGGAUGUUGGGCGGUCUGACCGUUCAGUGUCGUAGCUAACGCGAUAAGCACACCGCCUGGGGAGUACGGCCGCAAGGUUGAAACUCAAAAGAAUUGACGGA
rnacentral:rRNA from 1 species